rnacentral:misc_RNA from 1 species
AAGUCGUAACAAGGUUUCCGUAGGUGAACCUGCGGAAGGAUCAUUAUUGAAACUUCAUCUGGGGCGCCGCGGCCCUCAGCACCGGUGGAAACGCCGUGCUGCGGGGGCCGCGCGCGCACUCGUCCAAACCAAACCCCUGUGAACCUUACGGGAUGGCCUGGGUUAGCGCCCGGCGCCGUUCCGCUUUAUACAAACACUUAUCAAAGAAUGAACUGGAAGGCGGUCUGACCGCUGGAUAACAAACUGAAACAACUUUCAACAACGGAUCUCUUGGCUCUC